UGGGGAAUAUUGGACAAUGGGCGAAAGCCUGAUCCAGCCAUGCCGCGUGUGUGAAGAAGGUCUUCGGAUUGUAAAGCACUUUAAGUUGGGAGGAAGGGCAGUAAGCGAAUACCUUGCUGUUUUGACGUUACCGACAGAAUAAGCACCGGCUAACUCUGUGCCAGCAGCCGCGGUAAUACAGAGGGUGCAAGCGUUAAUCGGAAUUACUGGGCGUAAAGCGCGCGUAGGUGGUUCGUUAAGUUGAAUGUGAAAGCCCCGGGCUCAACCUUGGAACUGCAUCCAAAACUGGCGAGCUAGAGUAGGGCAGAGGGUGGUGGAAUUUCCUGUGUAGCGGUGAAAUGCGUAAAUAUAGGAAGGAACACCAGUGGCGAAGGCGACCGCCUGGGCUCAUACUGACACUGAGGUGCGAAAGCGUGGGGAGCAAACAGG
rnacentral:rRNA from 1 species